rnacentral:rRNA from 1 species
GAUGAACGCUAGCGGCAGGCUUAACACAUGCAAGUCGAGGGGCAGCGCGGGAUAGCAAUAUCCUGGCGGCGACCGGCGGAAGGGUGCGUAACGCGUGAGCGACAUGCCCGUUGCCCGGGGACAACCGGUGGAAACGCCGACUAAUCCCCGAUGGGAUAUUGUGCCGCAUGGCACGAAAUUGAAAGUUACGGCGGCGACGGAUUGGCCCGGGUCCGAUUAGCUUGUUGGCGGGGUAACGGCCAACCAAGGCUGCGAUCGGUAGGGGUUCUGAGAGGAAGGCCCCCCACGAUGGGACUGAGACCCGGCCCAGACGCCUACGGGAGGAAGCAGUGAGGAAUAUUGGUCAAGGGGCGGAAGCCUGAACCAGCCAUGCCGCGUGCGGGAAGGAGGCCCUAUGGGCUGUGAACCGCUUUUGCAUGGGGGGAAUAAGGGCGUCGCGCACGUCCGAUGAGAGUACCAGGCGAAUAAGCAUCGGCUAACUCCGUG